UUUUCUGCCUCCGCUGCCGCCAUGGCGCCCGUGAAAAAGCUUGUGGUGAAGGGGGGCAAAAAAAAGAAGCAGGUUCUGAAGUUCACCCUGGACUGCACCCACCCUGUAGAAGAUGGAAUCAUGGAUGCUGCCAAUUUUGAGCAGUUUCUCCAAGAGAGAAUCAAGGUGAACGGGAAAGCUGGAAAUCUUGGUGGAGGAGUGGUCACCAUCGAGAGAAGCAAAAGCAAGAUCACUGUAACCUCUGAGAUGCCUUUCUCCAAAAGGUAUUUGAAAUAUCUCACCAAAAAAUAUUUGAAGAAGAAUAAUCUACGUGAUUGGUUACGCGUAGUUGCUAACAGCAAAGAGAGUUACGAAUUAUGUUACUUCCAAAUUAACCAGGACGAAGAAGAGGAGGAAGACGAGGAUUAAAAUUCAUUUAUCUGGAAUAUUUUGUGUGAGUUCUUGUAUAAAACUUGGGAAC